AAGGCUGAAGUGGUCUCCAUGGUGAUGAUUUACGCUUGGGUCUCCUAGGAGACAAUUACACGUGUGACAGACUUCAGAUUCAUUUUACUGCCCCAAAUGUGCAGUGAUUUUCCUUUUACACUGAACCAUGCCCAGAAUUCGUAAGUUAAAAUUUAAUUUUUUCUAACAAUUUUUUUCCCAUGGCGUAAAAAAGAUGAAUAUUCCAAAGAGGAAAGAGAGGCCUUAAAGGAAAGAAGAGGGAAAUUUGACAUACCCACAUAGGGGAAGGCAAAAAGAAGAUGGAACAGAAAGAAUAUUCUGGUCUUGAAGACUGGAGUGAUGCAGCCCAAAGCCAAGAAAUGCUGCCGGCCACCAGAAGCCUGAAGAGACAAGAAAUGGUUCUACCCUACAGCCUCUGGAGGGAGUGUGCCCCUGCUUCCAUCUCUAUUUUGGCUCAUUAGUGCUAAUUUUGGAUUGCUAGCCUCCAGAACAAUGAGAGUAUACAUUUCUGUGGUCUUAAACCAUGAAGUUCAAGGUGAUUUGUUAUAGAAACCACCAGAAACUAUGUAUAUAACUUCUAAGCAAGUUCUACUUAGGUAUUAAAGAUACACUUAGUAGACACCUUGCUGUCUCCUGUAGCCCUCAUCUUAAACAACAAUACAAGUGCAGCAUUCCUCCAACUUUACCAUGGACAGAAAACACCUGUAUCCUUUUAAAAUGCAGAUUCUAACUUGAGCCUGGGCACUAUGAGAAGAUGCAGCCCCUCUCAGCCUGGAUUUCAGACAAAUAGAGCUCUCCCAACCUCUCCUCCCCCGUCCCCACUCUUCACAACCUCUGAAGGACAUGAGGCCCAAUCAAGGAAUAAACUCUUGUUGCUUAAACCCA